GACAGAGGUCCCGAGCGUUAGGCGGAAUCACUGGGCUUAAAGCGUGUGUAGGCGGAUCGUUAAGUGCCUUGUGAAAUCCCACGGCUUAACCGUGGAACUGCUUGGCAUACUGGCGGUCUUGAGCCACUUAGGGGCAACCGGAACAAAUGGUGGAGCGGUGAAAUGCGUAGAUAUCAGGAAGAACACCCGUGGCGAAGGCGGUUCUCUGGGACGGUACUGACGCUGAGACGCGAAAGCGUGGGGAGCGAACAGG
rnacentral:rRNA from 1 species